rnacentral:rRNA from 1 species
CAACGGAUCUCUUGGCUCUCGCAUCGAUGAAGAACGCAGCGAAAUGCGAUAAGUAAUGUGAAUUGCAGAAUUCAGUGAAUCAUCGAAUCUUUGAACGCACCUUGCGCUCCUUGGAAUUCCGAGGAGCAUGCCUGUUUGAGUGUCAUUAAAUUCUCAACCUU